UGAGACACGGCCCAGACUCCUACGGGAGGCAGCAGUGGGGAAUUUUGGACAAUGGGGGCAACCCUGAUCCAGCAAUGCCGCGUGAGUGAAGAAGGCCUUCGGGUUGUAAAGCUCUUUUGUCAGGGAAGAAACGGUACGGGCUAAUAUCCUGUGCUAAUGACGGUACCUGAAGAAUAAGCACCGGCUAACUACGUGCCAGCAGCCGCGGUAAUACGUAGGGUGCAAGCGUUAAUCGGAAUUACUGGGCGUAAAGCGUGCGCAGGCGGUUUUGUAAGUCUGUCGUGAAAUCCCCGGGCUCAACCUGGGAAUUGCGAUGGAGACUGCAAGGCUAGAAUCUGGCAGAGGGGGGUAGAAUUCCACGUGUAGCAGUGAAAUGCGUAGAGAUGUGGAGGAACACCGAUGGCGAAGGCAGCCCCCUGGGUCAAGAUUGACGCUCAUGCACGAAAGCGUGGGGAGCAAACAGGAUUAGAUACCCUGGUAGUCCACGCCCUAAACGAUGUCUACUAGUUGUCGGGUUUUAAUUAACUUGGUAACGCAGCUAACGUCGUGAAGUAGACCGCCUGGGGAGUAC
rnacentral:rRNA from 2 species